CAGCCGCCACGGGAAUACGAAGGGUGCAAGCGUUAAUCGGAAUUACUGGGCGUAAAGCGUGCGUAGGCGGUUUGUUAAGUCUGUUGUGAAAUCCCCGGGCUCAACCUGGGAAUGGCAAUGGAUACUGGCAAGCUAGAGUGUGUCAGAGGAUGGUGGAAUUCCCGGUGUAGCGGUGAAAUGCGUAGAGAUCGGGAGGAACAUCAGCGGCGAAGGCGGCCAUCUGGGACAACACUGACGCUGAGGCACGAAAGCGUGGGGAGCAAACAGGAUUAGAUACCCCCGUAGUCCCUGUCUCUUAUAC
rnacentral:rRNA from 1 species